GACAGAGGGUGCAAACGUUGUUCGGAAUUACUGGGCGUAAAGCGAGUGUAGGCGGCCAUGCAAGUCGGGUGUGAAAUCCCGGGGCUCAACCCCGGACGUGCAUUCGAAACUGCGUGGCUAGAGUCCCGGAGAGGAAGGUGGAAUGCUUGGUGUAGAGGUGAAAUUCGUAGAUAUCAAGCAGAACACCCGUGGCGAAGGCGGCCUUCUGGACGGUGACUGACGCUGAGACUCGAAAGCGUGGGGAGCAAAC
rnacentral:rRNA from 1 species